UACGUAGGGUGCGAGCGUUGUCCGGAAUUAUUGGGCGUAAAGGGGCUCGUAGGCGGUUUGUCGCGUCGGGAGUGAAAAACAUCCAGCUUAACUGGGUGCUUGCUUUCGAUACGGGCAGACUUGAGGUAUGCAGGGGAGAAUGGAAUUCCUGGUGUAGCGGUGAAAUGCGCAGAUAUCAGGAGGAACACCGGUGGCGAAGGCGGUUCUCUGGGCAUUACCUGACGCUGAGGAGCGAAAGUGUGGGGAGCGAACAGG
rnacentral:rRNA from 1 species